UACGGAGGGUGCAAGCGUUGCCCGGAUUUAUUGGGUUUAAAGGGUGCGUAGGCGGGUCAUUAAGUCAGUGGUGAAAGCCCACAGCUCAACUGUGGAACUGCCAUUGAUACUGGUGACCUUGAGUAUAGUUGAGGCAGGCGGAAUUUACGGUGUAGCGGUGAAAUGCAUAGAUAUCGUAAAGAACACCUAUAGCGAAGGCAGCUUGCUAAGCUAUUACUGACGCUGAGGCGCGAAAGCGUGGGGAGCGAACAGG
rnacentral:misc_RNA from 1 species